rnacentral:rRNA from 1 species
GAGUGGCAGACGGGUGAGUAACGCGUGGGAAUCUACCGUACCCUACGGAAUAACGCAUGGAAACGUGUGCUAAUACCGUAUACGCCCUACGGGGGAAAGAUUUAUCGGGGUAUGAUGAGCCCGCGUUGGAUUAGCUAGUUGGUGGGGUAAAGGCCUACCAAGGCGACGAUCCAUAGCUGGUCUGAGAGGAUGAUCAGCCACAUUGGGACUGAGACACGGCCCAAACUCCUACGGGAGGCAGCAGUGGGGAAUAUUGGACAAUGGGCGCAAGCCUGAUCCAGCCAUGCCGCGUGAGUGAUGAAGGUCUUAGGAUUGUAAAGCUCUUUCACCGGAGAAGAUAAUGACGGUAUCCGGAGAAGAAGCCCCGGCUAACUUCGUGCCAGCAGCCGCGGUAAUACGAAGGGGGCUAGCGUUGUUCGGAAUUACUGGGCGUAAAGCGCACGUAGGCGGAUAUUUAAGUCAGGGGUGAAAUCCCAGAGCUCAACUCUGGAACUGCCUUUGAUACUGGGUAUCUAGAGUAUGGAAGAGGUGAGUGGAAUUCCGAGUGUAGAGGUGAAAUUCGUAGAUAUUCGGAGGAACACCAGUGGCGAAGGCGGCUCACUGGUCCAUUACUGACGCUGAGGUGCGAAAGCGUGGGGAGCAAACAGGAU